AUCGAACGCUGGCGGCAGGCCUAACACAUGCAAGUCGAGCGGAUGAGAGGAGCUUGCUUCUCGAUUCAGCGGCGGACGGGUGAGUAAUGCCUAGGAAUCUGCCUGGUAGUGGGGGACAACGUUUCGAAAGGAACGCUAAUACCGCAUACGUCCUACGGGAGAAAGCAGGGGACCUUCGGGCCUUGCGCAAUCAGAUGAGCCUAGGUCGGAUUAGCUAGUUGGUGAGGUAAUGGCUCACCAAGGCGACGAUCCGUAACUGGUCUGAGAGGAUGAUCAGUCACACUGGAACUGAGACACGGUCCAGACUCCUACGGGAGGCAGCAGUGGGGAAUAUUGGACAAUGGGCGAAAGCCUGAUCCAGCCAUGCCGCGUGUGUGAAGAAGGUCUUCGGAUUGUAAAGCACUUUAAGUUGGGAGGAAGGGUUGUAGAUUAAUACUCUGCAAUUUUGACGUUACCGACAGAAUAAGCACCGGCUAACUCUGUGCCAGCAGCCGCAAUAA
rnacentral:rRNA from 1 species